UCCAGUAAGCCCAGCUUAACCUUCAGGAGUUUUCUGCCAGCUUAUGUAACUGUAUGUGAAUUGCUGCUACAGAGGAAACAUUCCUAAACCACAGAAUUGGACCUGAGUCAUCUGUCAAGUGGCCAAGAAAUAUGGUGUCACAGAGUGUCUUGUUGAUGGGUAUUUAUCAGCGCAAAGUUGCAAGACUAAUCUCAAUCUCAAUUACAAAGAGGAAAGGAUAAAGAAGGUAAAAGACUGAAAAGAACUCCAGGAUGACAAACUUCAGCCAUCUACCGAACAUCAAUCAUCCAUAUAUUUCCAGCAGAGUUGGGACUGAGCACCUGUUUUUGGUUAUGUUGAAG